UUUUGAGCAGAAGAGAGAGGGUUAUCCGCACCGUUGGGGAGAGCAUUGGAGUUAUAACAAAAAGCAGACAUGGCAUAGGGUUCGACAGGCUUCUCAUCCGGGCUCAGUGAAAACCAAUCUUUAAGACUCGCGGAGCAAGUACGAGCAGGUGAAGGACUAAGGCCAGAGGCAAGUUUCACAUGGUGAUCAAAAGAACCAGUCCCAGAAGGCGAAUCCCGAGAGGCAAACGAAUCAACCAUCUGAGUUCCUAACGAAGAUAAAUUCCAAGAGAAGUUAAUUGCAAAGUAACUUAAACAAACAGCUUAAGAAGUAAACAAAGAGUUAGCAAAAUACCAUUUUGCAAGUGUGAAUUAUUGUUCAAAAGAAAUAAAUAUAGUUGGUGCCUGUGAGAGAGUCAAACAGAAUCAACAGCUGCUAACCUGCAAUGCAGCUUGAAAGAUCAUAUUUUCUUUGUUUGACUGGAGCCUCGUGCCUCCAGGUUGAUUGAAAGUAUGACCACUUGGAGAAUACUGUGAAGAAACCACCGGGAUUUUCAUAGCUAGAGGUCGAUAUGGGUUUGCAGAUUGACCAUUAGUUUCUAUUAUGUAGACAUCAGAAUCAUCAUCACUGUCGGAUAUACUUUCUGGAGAAAGACUUUGAACUGAUUCAAAGCUCGCAUUUGAGAAAUUAUAAUCAACGCUCCUUGGUUGAAUAUGUUCUUGGUUUACUUGUGUCAGAGAGUCUACAUACCCAUUGAUCUGUGUCGCUGAGCUCGGAUCUGCGGCAACAUAUUGCAAACAUGCAUUUGAAUCAUAAAAGUUAUUGGAGUUGCCACUGUCUUGACUAGGGAAACCAGUUUGCUGUGCCAUAAAUGCGAAUCCUUCUUGAAAAUCUGUCUGAUAGGAGACUGAACAGCCAGAUGCACCAGACCACCAAUGACUGGUUUCCCCAGGUGCAUAAACAGGGUCAAUAAUGCUUUCUUCCUUUGGAACUGAACUGGAAACCAGUUUCUCUGACUCAGCCUCCGGCUUAACCUUCACAGGGGAAGCUUUAUUACCCUGAAAACUGCUUGAACAAUUAUCAGGCAAGUGACUGUCAAAACGAUUGUACGGUUUGGCAGAGGGAAGAGGAACUGAGGAAUUACUUUCACAAUUGAAACCGAUCCCUAUUGCACUAGAGAAACCAACAACAGGCUUCCUGUCUGAAGAUCCGUAGUCUACUCUCCCGUGUGUAUCAAAAACCAUCCGGCUGGCACCAUCCGACAGACACUCACUAACACCACUGUCAACAUCAUUCACAGCUUCUUCUUUAUUGGGAAAGAACUGAAAUGCGAAACUGGGGGUAUGUUCUGUUGUAUUGUAGCAAUUUUGAGCAGAAGAGAGAGGGUUAUCCGCACCGUUGGGGAGAGCAUUGGAGUUAUAACAAAAAGCAGACAUGGCAUAGGGUUCGACAGGCUUCUCAUCCGGGCUCAGUGAAAACCAAUCUUUAAGACUCGCGGAGCAAGUACGAGCAGGUGAAGGACUAAGGCCAGAGGCAAGUUUCACAUGGUGAUCAAAAGAACCAGUCCCAGAAGGCGAAUCCCGAGAGGCAAACGAAUCAACCAUCUGAGUUC
rnacentral:lncRNA from 1 species